rnacentral:rRNA from 1 species
AACGAACGCUGGCGGCAUGCCUAACACAUGCAAGUCGAACGAGACCUUCGGGUCUAGUGGCGCACGGGUGCGGAACGCGUGGGAACCUGCCCUUAGGUUCGGAAUAACUCCCCGAAAGGGGUGCUAAUACCGGAUAAUGUCUUCGGACCAAAGAUUUAUCGCCUUUGGGUGGGCCCGAGUUGGAUUCGCUAGUUGGUAGGGUAAAAGCCUACCAAGGCGACGAUCCAGAGCUGGUGUGAGAGGAUGCUCAGCCACACUGGGACUGGGCCACGGCCCCGACGCCUGGCGGAGGUGGGGAUGGGGACAAUUGGACAAGGGGCCAAAGCCUGCACCGGCACUGCCGGGUGAGUGGUGAAGGCGUUAGGGUUGGAAAGCUCUUUAGCCGGGAUGAUAAUGACAGUACCGGGAGAAUAAGCACCGGCUAACUACGUG